AAUGCGCAAGCGCAGAAGAGGCCGCUCGGGGUCCUUGGGACUUGAACUGUGGUUCAAGUGGGUGUUUGGGUCUCCUUACACACCCGUGGGUUUUGACACCGUCUGUGCGUGUUUGUGUAUGUGCACACGUGCGGAUUUACAUUCGUAUGCGGCAGAAGUACUGCCCAAUUUGGCCUUCCUCUAGCCGUCUUCUCAGCCGGCUCUCCACUUACAGUGACAGAAGCGUUUCUGGGCAUGGUUCACGCUUAUUGCAUUUUUUUCUCUUUGAACUGAAAACGAAAGAAACUCCUCGUUUCUCGAGUGGUUUGUGUUAGCCGGGCCGAAACCGGAACACCCAGCCCCUUUCUCUCGGCCUGGCGGGACUGAGACCCGGCAGUGGGAGGGGCGUUCACCGCAGGCGGAGGGCGCCCCAGGUGCGUGGAGGCGGACUGGGGUGCGGGCCUGAAGGCCCAGAGCAUCUCCCGCUGUCUGCUUUGAGUACUUUGUUUUCCCACGCCUCCAGCUUUUAAACUGAAAGACUUCCCUCCAAAGGGCUUUUUGUGCAAGGCAGAAGAUUUAGACUCACUCACCUGUGAAUCCCUGGGACAAUGGAGCUAAUGUCAAAAGGGCCCAUUGAAAGUUCAGCAUUUCGAGAUCUCCUGCUGACUUCUUACAGUGUGCCCCAGAGAGCGUCCUUCCUGGCCCUGCAGGAUGAAAGUUGGCUCCUGUUGUCUGUACAGCUAUUGGACGGUGUUGGUUAUAUUAUCUGGCACGAGUUGCACUUUUCCUUUUCCUUUUCAGGGGAGUUCUCUCAAGGAAAAGAUACUUACUGUGCUUUUGUCCCCUUUGGCCUGGAAAAAAGUUUAGUUUGAUUUUCUAUUUACCAUUUCUCGUCUCUCCUCUGAUGCCUUUGGCAAGGCAAGAGUUCUCUCAUCGGUUCUUGCGAUUGGCAUCUGAGUCAGGUUUCUGACUUCUGUUACCACAUGACUAUUCUUUUCGGUGAAUUACAUGGGUCAUCACUGCCUAUGGGUUGAAAGCUCAAGAAAGUUUAGGGAUAAAAGAGUUGGGGAAAGAGGCACAUAGACAAAGAGGUGGGACAUGCAUCAAAGCACAGGACAGCACAUCGUGCAUUGAGAGAGGUCUCAAAAUAGAAAGUACUUCUCUUGGGAUUCACCACCACAGGCCUUGGCAGACAGCCCACCCUUAUCACCAUUAAUUUUUAGAGUUUGAAUUGGGCAACACACUCUGUGUUUAAGCUGUUAACCUCCAGCCUCAAGGCCACAGCUGCUGGAAGAAUUCCUCUUUCAAGCUGUGGUCUCAUCACAGUUCUUCAUCUGGACACACCACAAAGGGCGAAUGUUCCUAAAUUCCAGUCCCAUGAUUCCGGGAUGCUAUAUAUACCCGGGCACCUCGCACUCCUUUACUCCAGGACGUGCGCACACAGGGCAGAACCUUCCAGUCGUGGAUUGUGGCACAGCCGUUGCAUGCUGUGCGCAUGCGUGUGUGCGUACGUGCGCUGCAAGAGUGUAGCUCCUUCGAUGCCUAGUAUGAGAACCGCUCUGCAGACUUUUUGUCUUCUACUUCCAUAAAGAAUAAAACCUGAAACAACGUGCGUAGUCUGAGACAAUUCAGGACUUUCUAGAACCUGGCUUUUCACAGCAGAGGGCUGCUCCAGGUCUAGAGACACGUUAUGGCUCUCAGGUUGGAGAGUUGUGAAGACUGCCCAAUUUUCCUUGCCUUGUGCUAUGAAUUUACACCCAAGCCAUCAGCAGAGGGCUCCCUCAACCUUAGAAGCUGGUAUUGAUGCUUGCAAGGCCAAGCAAAGUAAAUGAGAGAAGAAAUGCAGAUCUGACUGUGAGUUUAAAAUCCAAUGCCCCAAAGUGCUUUUGUAGAGAAGAAACCCUAACCCAUCCUGAAAACAGACCACUUCAGCAAGAAGGCAUUUGCUAGCGUUUACAUUAAAUGACACUGUUUAAAUUCCUGGAUCAAGGUCAGCAUAAUGUUUAUGCUCAGAGUAACACGUAGCUAAGUUAUCCUUCAGAGAACCUGAGAAGCUGAGCAACUCCCUGACCAAUGGUUUAAUUGCUUCUGGACUGGUGGCUCGACGCUUCCUAAGUGUUGAAUCACAGCACUCUUGAUCACCAUGGGUCCCAGGACUGAACCAAAGCUCUACAGAUGGCCAGAUCCCUAUGUGGCAUUUGCCUAGAUCAGGCUAAACAUCAAGAGCACCAGAUUGACAAAGCACAACGCUAAGGUAUAGUGGGUCACGAUCUGUGAGGGCAACUGGAAUUGGCCAACUGCUCUAAACUGAAAUGGAGAAGGCUGCAUGGUGAAAAUGAGAUCAGGAAAAGGGAAACAGGACCCUGCCAAAACAACAUCUAUCUAAGUUAAUAGCUCUUGAGACAGUUCAGACUUUCCCCUCUGAAGACGCCGAAGCCUAGGAUCCAAUGCCAGGUAUUAGUUAGAAUCCUUCCUUGGAAGUUGCUAGACAACCUCUGUCCAGGUUUUAUUACCUAACUCUUUUCCCUCAGCUCUAGGGAAAGAAUGACAUUCCUUUAUCAUAACUUCAUCGGAGACGUGUUACAGUGAAUGCCACCACUGCUUGUUGGACAUCAGGUAGGCUUGGGAAUUAUAGAGGAAUGCCCUGGGUUCCUUGACUACAUUUGGAAGGUAUUCUUGCUUCUCUUUUGGGGGUGAGGGGGGACAAUACACGGUUAGUGGGUGAGGUUUUCUGACCUUUUCAAAUUCCAGGGAAAAGAGGCAGCACACUGUGGACAAAACUGACCUCCCACCUGCCUUGUAUAAAAAACGUAUCAAGGCAACAAGGGCAAACAGCCAAGGGGCAGACUACAGCACAGCACACUGAGUGGACUUGAGGGAAAGUGGGAUUUGUGAGGUCAUGGUUAAUCAUCAUGAUCUGGAGACUUUUCCGAGAAGAAGCAUGUGUCCUCCUUGUGAUAGAAAAGCAAAUGUAUACGAGGAGAAACCAGGCUACUGCAGUGGGAAACGGCCAGUUUCUGUUUGUACUGGCUUCUUUCAUUCAGAUGUUUCCAUCAGUACAUUCAGAUUGAUUCCAUUUGCAAAGCUCUCCUGGCAGCCUUGGUGGAGGAGGCUUGGUGGCAACAUCUCUGGCAUUUUCUGAGCCUGCCCAGGCCUUGCUCUUCUUGUGUCGUUUCUUGGCACUGGGGCUCCUAAGCAGAAAUUGGCGAAGCAGACGCUGCUGCUGAACAAAACCAAAUGCAAAACAGAACAUUGGAACACUGAACGAAGAGGCUUUUCUAAAUGUGGGGGGCGGGAAUGCAGUGGAGAACAGCGAGGGAUCAGGAUAGGGAGGGGCUUCCUUAGAACCAGGCUGAAUCAUGCUCUGGUGAGGUUUGUCAUU
rnacentral:lncRNA from 1 species